GAGGAAUAUUGCGCAAUGGGGGCAACCCUGACGCAGCAACGCCGCGUGAGUGAGGAAGGUUUUCGGACCGUAAAGCUCUGUCGAGCGGGAAGAAAUGCAUGGUGGCUAAUAUCCAUCAUGCUUGACGGUACCGCUAAAGGAAGCACCGGCUAACUCCGUGCCAGCAGCCGCGGUAAUACGGGGGGUGCGAGCGUUGUUCGGAAUUAUUGGGCGUAAAGAGCGUGUAGGCGGCCGAAUAAGUCAGAUGUGAAAUCCCUGGGCUUAACCCAGGACGUGCAUUUGAAACUAUUCGGCUAGAGUAGGGGAGAGGAAAGUGGAAUUCCUGGUGGAGAGGUGAAAGGCGUAGAUAUCAGGAGGAACACAGGUGGCAAAGGCGACUUUCUGGCCCUAUACCGACGCUGAGACGCGAGAGCGUGGGUAGCAAACA
rnacentral:rRNA from 1 species